UGGUGUGAGACCCCCUGAAAUUCAGGAAACCCCUUAAAUUCGGGGAGCACCCCACAGUUACGGAGGACCCAAAUAAACCCCAGGUUGGGGGAAAUAAGAGGGGUGUGAGGGGAGUUUGGGGAGGGGCCCAAGGGUGGGACGAACUCCUUCUGCCGCCCAGUCCCCACUGGGUGGGCACAAUUUGGGGUUCCUUCCACAAACUCACAAAUUUUGGGUGUUUUGUUAAAAAAAAAAAAAAACCAAACCAGCAGCUUCUCCCUCCUCAGCCAGGUCUGACGGAUCCCUUUCCUCACGUUUCCAGCUCCCAUCGCUGUCUGUAUUUCCUCGUCACGUGUCAUCCAUCACUCCAGUCCCAGUGCACCUCCUCCAUGGUUUCUGAUGCAAAGGUGCAACUGCUGGACUUGAUGUUGGCCCACCGGAGACUGUUGAUGUGAGCAUCUCUCAGUUUGAAAAGCUGCUCUCCCGUGCCUGCCUGGCACACAGGGAGCCCUCUCCAGCAUAUGCCAUCCCAGCCUCAGGUGCUGGCACAGCCUGAAUCCUCAUCUCCACUUCGUGGCUCCUCCUUAAUCUCCGAGGUCGGAGAAAAAGUUUCUGAGGUUUAUUAAGAAAACCCUCUGAAUUAAUUCUGCCUUUGUGGGGUCAGCCUGUGAGCCUGGAGCACACCUGAACCAAGGAGCAAAUUAAGGUUAGGUGCAGUUUGCCUUAGAAAUCAUAACUGCCAUACUUGGGUGCAGCAAAGUGUGGAAGCUCCUGAAGCCCAGGCUCAUUAUCCAGAGAAAACAGCUGUAAAGGCAGUCGGUGAGAACAGAAGAAGGAGCAGAUGAUGGCACCAAAUCCUGCCCUGGAGCUGUGCCUGGUGCAAACAGCAUCCCGUGCGGAGAAGCAGAUCGUGCUCCUGCAAAGUUGAGAUCCCAAGUGGAGGGUUCCUGGUGACAACCAGCACUGCUGCCGGGAUCUGGGAGCUGCCUGCGGGGGCCGAGCUGGAGCAGAGCGAGCAGAGUCAGGAGUGCUCCUGCUGACAGAUCAGCCUGGUGGAUUUUAUGGAGGAUUUCUACAGCUGAGGGAUAACUGUGAAUUUCCAGGUUCUCCUCUGAUGGUGCCCAUCUCACGGAGCUCUCUCAGGAAGCAGCAAGUGGAGCUGAGCUGUGUGAGCACCUGCCAGGAUCUGCACUCAGGAAGUUCAGGACCAGAUUUCUUUUUCAGUCUGAAAUAU